ACUACGGGUGGCAGCAGUGGGGAAUAUUGCACAAUGGGGGAAACCCUGAUGCAGCGACGCCGCGUGAAGGAAGAAGGAUUUCGGUAUGUAAACUUCUAUCAGCAGGGAAGAAAAUGACGGUACCUGACUAAGAAGCCACGGCUAACUACGUGCCAGCAGCCGCGGUCAUACGGAGGGGGCAAGCGUUAUACGGAUUUACUGGGUGAAAAGGGAGCGGAGGCGGCGAUGCAAGUAAGAUGUGAACGCCCCGGGCUCAACCCCGGGACUGCUUUUGAAACUGUAUGGCUAGAUUGCAGGAGAGGCAAGUGGAAUUCCUAGUGUAGCGGUGAAAUGCGUAGAGAUUAGGAGGAACACCAGUGGCGAAGGCGGCUUGCUGGACUGUAAAUGACGCUGAGGCUCGAAAGCGUGGGGAGCAAACAGGAUUAGAUACCCGGGUAGUC
rnacentral:rRNA from 1 species